CUGCUCCAGGGGAUCUUUGCAGAGUGAUGUCUCACCCCAGAACCACUGUUUUUAUAUAUUCUGUGGAUGACAGAGCUGCCACAGACCAGCUGGCCAAGGACAUGGACUUGUCACAGCAAUUCCCAGCAGCUGAAAUGUCACUUCCCAGCAGCUGACGGGGGACAGUGACCGCUCGUGAACUCCCUCCCCUUUCCCUGGAACAUGAGUUGGCUCUUCCCAAAAACACCUCACCCCCAUGUGUGCCCAACACAUUGAUCCCUCGUGGGCGGUGGAAAACGAUGGCCUGGGACACACAGGCUGGGAUCCAGGGGCACCUGACCCUGCAGAGCUGUCUCUGUAGCCUGGAGAUGCAACCACAGCCCCUUAACUGCUGAAUUUGGGAAGCUCAGAUUUUGCAAUGACUCUCCCAUGUUAAAUACAGGAAAAAACCCAACAUUCCUGUUCUUCAAAGAGCAUUCACCUAGCAGGGGCUCCCCCAGAAGAUGGCAAUGAAGAGCUAACGCUGAAAUUCCUCUCCAGCAACCUUCUUCAGUGAAGGGCCAGACUGAAAAGCCCUCCCUGCUCUGCAGUCUGCUGUGGACUCCCGUGAUGGACAAGAAACCAGAAACCAGUCACUGCUCUCAAAAUCAUAUUGACAGGACUCGAGGAAGUGGAAUGAAGCUGAGUUGGGAGAGGUUUAAGUUGGAUAUCAGGAAAAGUUCUUCACCCAGAGGGUGGCUGGGCCCUAAAUAGGCUCCUCAGAAAAAGACAGCUAUUUAAAAUCCCAUCUUUGUAUAAUUUAAUUGGAAGAAUGUGUAUAUUUGCUUUAUAACAUGGAAGAGCAUUUGUUUCUAUUAUUUGGAUUUUGAUUUUGUUCUUUAAAAAAACCCAAAAAAACCAUAAAUAACUCAAGUGAUGAACUGUAAA